AUUGAACGCUGGCGGCAGGCCUAACACAUGCAAGUCGAACGGUAACAGGAAACAGCUUGCUGUUUCGCUGACGAGUGGCGGACGGGUGAGUAAUGUCUGGGAAACUGCCUGAUGGAGGGGGAUAACUACUGGAAACGGUAGCUAAUACCGCAUAACGUCGCAAGACCAAAGAGGGGGACCCUCGGGCCUCUUGCCAUCGGAUGUGCCCAGAUGGGAUUAGCUUGUUGGUGGGGUAACGGCUCACCAAGGCGACGAUCCCUAGCUGGUCUGAGAGGAUGACCAGCCACACUGGAACUGAGACACGGUCCAGACUCCUACGGGAGGCAGCAGUGGGGAAUAUUGCACCAUGGGCGCAAGCCUGAUGCAGCCAUGCCGCGUGUAUGAAGAAGGCCUUCGGGUUGUAAAGUACUUUCAGCGGGGAGGAAGGGAGUAAAGUUAAUACCUUUGCUCAUUGACGUUACCCGCAGAAGAAGCACCGGCUAACUCCGUG
rnacentral:rRNA from 1 species